AACGUGGUCUAGAAAUAGCGUCUCUUGCAUGCAUUUAAAUCUGGCAGGUGGGUUGUUCAAAUAAAGCUAGGGCUCAACAGAAAUGUGUUGAAUUCUGCAGAUGUCUACAGAGGCGCUGAAAGGCUCUCCACAAGCCUAUUUUUGCCUAAGACGUUUUUAACCAUCUCUACAAAUUUUUCGAUCUUUGUUUACAGGCAUUUCUCCGGCUAACAGAAAUGUAAAUAGCACGUUAAUUGAAUUUCCCGGUAGUGGAUUGAAAAGUGCUGCUGAAACAGGCUGGAGAGAGAACUAAUACAAAGAUCUAUAGCAGAAGCAUCAAGAAAAUCUGUGCCAACGUUUCACAGAGCGCUGGCCAUGUGCAGAAUGCAGAACAGAAUGCAGGCGACACUGCCCUUGACCAGACAAUCAGCAACUGGUGGACAAAGAGCCAACAUUGGCACCUAUAAAGGGUUCUUUGUUUUCAUAGAACCAUAUAAUUGUAGAGUUGGAGGGGGACACCAGGGUCAUCCAGUCCAACCCUGCUGCGAUGAAGGAAUCGUUUUGCUCGACUCAGGGCUCAAACUCACGAACCUGAGAUUAAUAAUCUCGUGCUCUACCAACUGAGCUAUCUGGUUCCCCAGAAACUAAUGCAGAAGGAAAAGGUUAUAUCUGAAAGGGGGUUAUGCUGGUCUACGACCGUAAUAAAGUGUUGUUGUUGUU